UACGAAGGUGGCAAGCGUUACUCGGAUUUACUAGGCGUAAAGGGCAGGUAGGUGGUUUGAUAAGUCUGCUGUGUAAGCUCCCGGCUUAACUGGGAGAGGUCAGCGGAUACUGUCAGGCUUGAGUAUGGGAGAGGGUACUGGAAUUCCUGGUGUAGCGGUGAAAUGCGCAGAUAUCAGGAGGAACACCAAUUGCGAAGGCAGCUCGCUGGGACGUUACUGACGCUGAGACGCGAAAGCGUGGGGGAGCAAACAGG
rnacentral:rRNA from 1 species